AUGUCAGGAAAGCGGAGGCCCCUUCCCAGGCCUGUGCACCACGCCUCUGCAGUGGCUCCAGGAGUUUUUGAAAUGGAAUGCCAGGUGGUGGGAACACAACAAAUAAUCCGACACAACCCUGCUCUGGAGAACUUGGACUUCACUGGAGGAGACAGACUCAGAAAUGAAGACCUAGAAUUUGUGGGACCAGUCCGGGUGGCUGAGUCUACUGAGCAACCUGCGCACAUUCAAGGGCGGGGAGGAGGCUUCCAUUAA
rnacentral:lncRNA from 1 species